GCUACUACCGAUUGAAUGGUUUAGUGAGGGCUCCUGAUUGGCGCCGCCGCCCCGGCAACGGAGCAGCGGACUGCCGAAAAGUUGUUCAAACUUGAUCAUUUAGAGGAAGUAAAAGUCGUAACAAGGUUUCCGUAGUGAACCUGCAGAAGGAUCAAGAUCGGAAGACCACCCGUUUGAACUCCAGUCCCGUGGCCUUCUCUCGUCUGCCUUCUUCUGCUUGAAAAAAAAACACCCACUCCAACGACAUCUUACCACUCCACUAGACAUCUAUUUAGUC
rnacentral:misc_RNA from 1 species